AUGGAGAGGAACCUGGGAGCUGUGCUGGGGAUUCUGUGGGUGCAGAUUUGCUGGGUGAGAGGAGAUAAUGUCCAGCAGAGUCCUUCAGCUCUGAGUCUCCAUGAGGGAACCAAUCCUGCUCUGAGAUGUUAUUUUUCUACCUCCAUGAAGAGUGUGCAAUGGUUCCGACAGAUUCCCAGGGGCAGCCUCAUCAGUCUGUUCUUCCUGGCUCCAGGAACAAAGGAGAUUGGAAGGUUAAAGUCAACAUUCGAUUCUAAGGAGCGCUACAGCACCCUGCACAUCAGUGGUGCCCAGCUGGAGGACUCAGGCACCUACUUCUGUGCUGCUUUCAGAAAGUCACGGUGCUCUCAGAAAGCUUAAAGUCUGGCUCCAAACUGCAGUUGGCUGUGCAGCUACAACCCCUGCCACAGGCAGAGUCUGCAGGAGGCUUUGCAUAGCUGUGGCUUCAUCAGAUCUCCACAAAUCACAAAGAUGUGAGGAAACAUAAAAAUACCACUGUAGUUGCCACUUACAUUAUGACUGACAUGACACUGACUUCUAGAAUGCUAAAUGCUAAGAAAUAUCAGCAUGCAUGACUAAAAUAUACCCGUCAUUUUUUUCAUGUUUGUGCUAAUGUUAUAGAAUAUAAACCUCUCUUACAUAUUGGAGAAUCAUUUGGGUCAUUUGUUAAAAUUCAAAACUGAAAGCAACUGUUUUCAUCCUUUGUUUAAAGAGCACAAGACAACACUGAGCUAAUCUGCUCAAUAUGACGUUGAUAAAUUAAUUAAUUCAUCUAAUAAAUUAACUGGUAGAAAGGCAAGAGAAAUCUUAUUAUUAGAUCAAGACAUUAUAGAAAUGUCUUGAUAUUUUAAAUAUAUAAUACAUUUAAUUCUGCAGUGGAAAACAAAUAUUUCAUGUCAUAAUUAGGAGCCAAAAGAUAAAAUAAAACUAGGAAGAUGUAUUUGCAAUUUAUGUCACAAUAACACUUGUAGCCAUUGAUUCUACCUUAUAUGCAAAACUUUUCAUUAAAACACUGCUUUCAAAAGAAAA